GAAGUCUCUGUUUCUUUAGGUUGUGCUCAGCUAUUGUUCUGACAGAGACUUCCAUGAACACUAGGAGUUGAAACAAAAAAGAAAAAAAAUGAAAGAAAACAGGAAAAAGAAGCAAAGGGAUCGCUGGAAGCAUCUAACUACUCCACCAUCUUGGCCCCGCCUUACCCCAGAGCAACCUUAGAAAUUGUUUAGAGAUGGCAAGACGUUGUCAGCCUGGGUACCUGGAUCACUGCAUUGAGAAAGCCCACCACAGUGACGGGUCUGUCACCUGUCCGUUGGUGAUUGAUCGAUCGUGGUCCAGCAUGCAGAAGUGAGUGUGUGGUGAAAAGCAGCAGAGCUGAUGAGUUGUGAAGACGUGUGUUUGAAGGCUGCCACACUCCCUACUCCAGGGUUGUGCUCAGCUAUUGUUCUGUCAGAGACUUCCAUGAACACUAGGAGUUGAAAAGAAAAAGAAAAAAAAUGAAAGAAAACAGGAAAAAGAAGCAAAGGCAGCAGCUGUGAUGUAUGACCUGCCCAUGGAGAGACUCAUGUGACAAAGACCUGAGGGAGGGUCCUGAUCAACAGACAGACAGGAGUGAGGCCCCCCAGUCCAAAAGCUCAUGGAGUCCUGCUGAUAACACGGAAGUGAGUAGGGAGCAGGUCGUCCGCAGUCAAGACUCAGUUGAGACCACAACCACAGGCUCCUGAGAACUUGGAGAAGUCACCCGAUUGUGAGUUCCAGUGGACAGGGACCACAUGGGUCAUUUUCAGAACCAGCUCCUGGAUGACCUGCUGAUGUUGAUCCUGCUCCUGCACUAACACUGGAGCUCCACAGUGCACCAACUAUACCGUCACCAGCUCCAUCACCAGCGUCAGAUGGCAGUCAGCUGGAGGCGUAGAGUUCAAUCGUAGCCACCUCCUGAAUGGCUCGCAGAUCACCUGCUGAUGUCGAUCCGGCUCCUGCUCAACAUCAGAGCUUUAUAGAAUACCAGGUCCUCCAUCUCCAGCUCUGCCUCGGUCACCAGAGGUUGAGCCAUUUGCUGCAAGUCCUCCACGGCCACCCCUCAUUCACAGCUAGGGGACGUCAGCUCCAGAAACACACCCUUUCUUCAACUUACCUGAGCGGGAAUUUCUUUGGUUUUGUGGUAAUAUUUUCCCAGAUCCCUUUAUACUUCAUAGUUUAUGCUAUUUAAACUGGUUGAUUUCUCAUAAAAUUUGUUUUAAUAAUUUUUAAGUGUGUAGUAUACUGGCUUUAUAUACUUUUACAGUGUUAUUCAACCAUCAUCAGUACCUACUUCAGAACAUUUUCAACACCACUGUGAUAGUUAAUGUUAUGUGUCAGUUUAGUUAGGCCAUGAUUCUCAGGGGUUUCGCAGAAAUUAUGUAAUCAGCCUCCAUUUUGUGAUCCGAUGUGAGCAGCCAAUCCGUUGGAAGAGGAGUUUCCUUGGAGGAGUGAACUGCAAAUUAACACAUCUCCUGGUACCUGGUAUGCAGCCGUUGAUGUGGCCAAUGCCUUUUUCUUCAUCCUUCUUCUGAAGGACAGGCCCUUUUGGCGAAUCACUGCACAGAUCUGCAGGAUUUUGGAGCAAAGCCGUACCAUUCUCUGCAGGUUGUGCUCAGCUAUUGUUCUGACAGAGACUUCCAUGAACACUAGGAGUUGAAAAGAAAAAUUAAAAAAAUGAAAGAAAACAGGAAAACGAAGCAAAGAAAAGGUAAGCAAUGAGAGAAAAAGUCCUUUGUGGUCCUUGCAGAUUGGGUCUGUCCUGCAACACUCCUUCAAUACUUAGCAAGGUUUACGCUGACCCAGAGAUCAACCCAAAGUGAAUGUUAAAGGUGUUCUCAGGUCUUUUCGGGGUGAGCAUCUUAACCUAGGCAUUCGUAUGUCUUUUUAAAUUCCUCAGUAUACCCGGGUACUUCUGAAUUCCCCAGCUUCCCAAAGAAGCCCUCUUUGUGGCCCCUGACCUUACCCCACAGCUUUCUAAUGUGUGUCUGAAUCUUCCUCUCUUAGCCGAGUACUUUCAGUGAGCCCGCUAGUCCUCCACCUGUACUACCUCUAAGAUAGGUGAUAUAGAGACGUACGUUUUGCUUCAGCCCUUUAGGUAGCCACUGACAGGUUCAAACAGACUAACAUAGUACUUUGUGCAUAAGGUUUGGUUUGGUCCUUUCAGAAUCCAGGACAAGAGUCCCAAGCUGAAAAUAUGGGUUGCCCCUUCAAGCUGGCUACUGAGCCAGGGCAGGGGAGAGGCAUAGGCCAGUAACAGAAAGCCACACAGUUUUCCU